rnacentral:rRNA from 1 species
CCCCCCAAAGUGGGAGAGUUGCCACCGGAUCCCAUAAGAACUCCGGAGUUAAGCGUGCUCGGGUGGGAGCAGUCACCGGAUGGUGACCUCCCUGGGAAGUCCCAAGGUACAUGUGC